rnacentral:rRNA from 1 species
UUGAUUACGUCCCUGCCCUUUGUACACACCGCCCGUCGCUGCCCGGGACUGAGCCAUUUCGAGAAACUUGGGGACCGCUGAUUUCAGGCCUUCGGGCCUGCUUUUUGGUGGGAACCAAUUUAAUCGCAGUGGCUUGAACCGGGCAAAAGUCGUAACAAGGUAGCUGUAGGUGAACCUGCUGCUGGAUCAUUACAUUCACCGCCCAAUGUAAUUGGUCAAAUUCUCUCGCAUAUGUGUGUGUGCUUGUGUGAACACAAGACACAUGGAUGUGUGUAUCUAUCCACUCAGCCGCUCGUGUACCUAGAGUGGUUCCACCAUGGUACCUAUAUGGUGGCAUUUGCAUUGGAGUGGUCAAGAAAACGGCUUCUGCUGGCGUCUGUGCGUUGCUGAGCAGUCGUAUUCGUCCGUGGCUGUGAUGAGGCAACGUGGUAGGGCCUGUGCCGGUGUGGCGCAUGGCUUAAGACUUGAUGAGCCCGCAAUUGUUCCAGGGCCGCCAGCACCCAAUUUUUCAAAUACAUUUUUUUCGAAUGCUUGAAAGCAUUACAAGAGAAAAUUCUAGUCUUAUCGGUGGAUCACUCGGCUCGUAGGUCGAUGAAGAACGCAGCUAACUGCGAUAAAUAGUGUGAACUGCAGAAACCUCGAACACAAAAGCUUCGAAUGCACAUUGCACCAUGGGAGUUUUUUCCCUUGGUACGCCUGGUUCAGGGUCGUAAACCGAAAACGCAAGUAAAAUGCGUAUGUGAUGGGAUAUGGAGAGUGGCAACUCUACGCCCAUUCACAAUUGCGAUUGGUUCACUCGUCAGUACCGUGAGUGUUCCUUUCAUUCAAUUAGUUAAGGGGCCACACUGGCGUGUAGUGGGAUGAAAGCUUGAGCUUUGUAUGUGGGCAUACAAACCAUAGCUCGUGGACAUCGGGGACUAACAUCCUCUCGAAUCACUACUGGUCGUGUCUGGCAACUUACACCUACCAAAAAAUACGCAUGACUGGAUUUGUUGUGUGUGUGUGUUGGUGGACGAUUCUCUCAAUUUUCGACCUGAACUCAGACGUGAAUACCCGCUGAACUUAAGCAUAUCAGUAAGCGGAGGAAAAGAAACUAACAAGGAUUCCCUUAGUAACGGCGAGUGAAA